AUGAACACAAGAAGAACAAACAAAAAGGAAAAUGGGAGCGGAAAUUCUCACUCCCGGAAAACGCCGUCGCUUGGAGUAGAGGAAGCCGAGUGGACCGAGGAAGAAGAAUGGGCACCGCCUCUCGCCAUGGAGUCGAAGGACGAGGAGGGAGGCGGCAAGUCGUGGGACGUCCGGCAGACAUACAGGUACAACGCCACCGACGGGUGCUACUUCAGGAACGUGACCAGUAGCAACUACAACGUCGUGUCGGACCACUCCAAUGAGUUCUGCGUGAAGGGGGCGGCAUCCGCCGGAGUUGGCGCUGUCACGGCCGCGCUACCUGCAGUGAAUCUUCCAUAG
rnacentral:rRNA from 1 species